rnacentral:rRNA from 1 species
AUUGAACGCUGGCGGCAGGCCUAACACAUGCAAGUCGAGCGGAUGAAGGGAGCUUGCUCCUGGAUUCAGCGGCGGACGGGUGAGUAAUGCCUAGGAAUCUGCCUUGUAGUGGGGGAUAACGUCCGGAAACGGGCGCUAAUACCGCAUACGUCCUGAGGGAGAAAGGGGGGGAUCUUCGGACCUCACGCUAUCAGAUGAGCCUAGGUCGGAUUAGCUAGUUGGUGGGGUAAAGGCCUACCAAGGCGACGAUCCGUAACUGGUCUGAGAGGAUGAUCAGUCACACUGGAACUGAGACACGGUCCAGACUCCUACGGGAGGCAGCAGUGGGGAAUAUUGGACAAUGGGCGAAAGCCUGAUCCAGCCAUGCCGCGUGUGUGAAGAAGGUCUUCGGAUUGUAAAGCACUUUAAGUUGGGAGGAAGGGCAGUAAGUUAAUACCUUGCUGUUUUGACGUUACCAACAGAAUAAGCACCGGCUAACUUCGUG